rnacentral:rRNA from 1 species
AGUGAACGCUGGCGGUAGGCCUAACACAUGCAAGUCGAACGGCAGCACAGUAAGAGCUUGCUCUUACGGGUGGCGAGUGGCGGACGGGUGAGGAAUACAUCGGAAUCUACUUUUUCGUGGGGGAUAACGUAGGGAAACUUACGCUAAUACCGCAUACGACCUACGGGUGAAAGCAGGGGAUCUUCGGACCUUGCGCGAUUGAAUGAGCCGAUGCCGGAUUAGCUAGUUGGCGGGGUAAAGGCCCACCAAGGCGACGAUCCGUAGCUGGUCUGAGAGGAUGAUCAGCCACACUGGAACUGAGACACGGUCCAGACUCCUACGGGAGGCAGCAGUGGGGAAUAUUGGUCAAUGGGCGCAAGCCUGAUCCAGCCAUACCGCGUGGGUGAAGAAGGCCUUCGGGUUGUAAAGCCCUUUUGUUGGGAAAGAAAAGCAGCAGGUUAAUACCCCGCUGUUCUGACGGUACCCAAAGAAUAAGCACCGGCUAACUUCGUG